AGAGUAUGCGCAUACCAGCUUCAUGGUGGGGGAGAUUUCAGCAUUCGAGGCACAUGCUCCCCCGUCUUGGGCCUCACUGCUUUAUCUCUCGCUGGAGCCUGCGUGCUGUCAGCUCUGCUCGGCUGCGCUGCCGUCGGCCCAGAGCACCCACGUGUGAUAAUUGCAGCAGCAGCAGCUGAGGGGGCUUGCGGGGAAAGCAAAGCAAGCGUCUGAUUGCCGGUCCCAGUUUGAGGGGGCUGCAUUAGGAGAUACCUCUGGUUUGGCAGUGGCUUGAGUAGUCCUGGCAAAUAACUCCUCCUGCCUCAACACCGUCUUUUCUCCUCUUUGCUGCACGUUCCCACUGACUUGGAGAGGUCGUCUCUGGACCUUGAUGCUUUUGCUGCUGGCGUGAAUCGGCUUCCACUCACUGCCUCCAUCCUAAGAAAGUAUUCCUGCAGAAAGUACUUCGUGUGAGAUGCAACAUCCUUACCAGGGACAAGUGAAGUGCCAGCCAGCAAACAGAAGCAAGUCUGUCCUUCAAGCGCGACACCGCUUCCAAGACAUACUUGAAAACAUGUAUUAUUUUUUUUUCCCUUCAAUGGAAGUCUAUUUAAUCCUCCAGCUGGUAAACAACCCAAUCUGUGGCGCACAGCAAGCUCUGGAACGAAACCUCCCUAUCGCUGAAGCUCAGUUUUGUGCCACUGGAAGGAGAAACUCAACAGCUUCACGUGGGCCACCAGGGAUGGGGCCAGCGGCUCCACAGCAUGAAAUACCCGCAGCACAGGCAACGUGCCACGCUCCAAAGGCUGGAGCAAGCAGAGCUGUUAGCGGCACUCAGAGGAAGGGGCCGGCUCGCCAUUAGCUGCUAAGCCACGUUGGACUGUGGCAAGGUUCAACAUUGCAGGAAGGGAAGGUGCUCUGUCUUUUAUGCUGGGGGGCACGUGUGUAUUUAUAUAACAAAUACGAUGUUGUACACACACACAUAUGUAGAUAUACAUAAACUAAAUGGCUAUUAAGUUUUACAAUCAUAUACAAAUAUAAUCACUCAACAUAUAAUAAGUAUAAUCAUAAAUGCUGUUUAAUUAUUCUUGUAAUACAUAGUUUAUACACAUAUACAUAUUACAUAUGC